rnacentral:tRNA from 494 species
GCCCAGAUAGCUCAGUUGGUAGAGCAGCGGACUGAAAAUCCGCGUGUCGGUGGUUCGAAUCCGCCUCUGGGCACCA